UACGUAGGCAGCAAGCGUUUUUCGGAAUUACUGGGCGUAAAGGGUGCGUAGGCGGUGCUCUAAGUUUGGUGUGAAAUCUCCCGGCUUAACUGGGAGGGUGCGCCGAAAACUGGAGCGCUUGAGUGCGGGAGAGGAAAGCGGAAUUCCUGGUGUAGCGGUGAAAUGCGUAGAGAUCAGGAGGAACACCUGCGGUGUAGACGGCUUUCUGGACCGUAACUGACGCUGAGGCACGAAAGCGUGGGUAGCAAACAGG
rnacentral:rRNA from 1 species